rnacentral:rRNA from 1 species
UACAGAGGUCUCAACCGUUGUUCGGAUUCAUUGGGCGUAAAGGGUGCGUAGGCGGUCGCGCAAGUCGGAUGUGAAAUCUCAGGGCUCAACCCUGAAACUGCAUUCGAUACUGCGUGGCUAGAGUGCUGGAGAGGAGACUGGAAUUUACGGUGUAGCAGUGAAAUGCGUAGAUAUCGUAAGGAAGACCAGUGGCGAAGGCGACUCUUUGGCCUGUAACUGACGCUGAGGCGCGAAAGCGUGGGGAGCAAACAGG